rnacentral:lncRNA from 1 species
CAAAGACGGGGUUUGUUAGUAGAGAUGGGGUUUCUCCAUGUUGGUCAGGCUUAUCUCGAACUCCCGACCUCAGGUGAUCCGCCCACCUUUGCCUCCCAAAGUGCUGGGAUUACAUGUGUGAGCCACCAUGCCUGGGCCUAAAACGUUUCUUAAUACCAAAUAUUCAGUGUUUAAGUUUCCAGUGUGUCUUAAAUGUCCAUUUUUAAAACUGUUUGAAUUAGUAUCCAAAUACAGUUUUUAGAUAAAUCCUUUAAGUCUCUUAAAAUCUUCAUGUUCCCUCUGUCUCUUUUUUUUUCUUUAUAACUUGAUGAACCUGGCUCAUUUGUCUUGAAAAGGUCCCACUGCCUAGACUUUGGUAGUUGGAGCUGGAGGCUGGGUCAGCUUCAGGCUGGAUUUUUUGUCGGCAGGACUUUAUCAUGGGUGUUGCUGUUCUUCCAGCAGGUGCGUGAUGUCCGAUUACCUCUCCUUUUGGAAAUUGGCAGCCAUUUAUUUUCACAUCACUAAUUCCCUAAAGGUUGCAAAAUGGUGAUAUUCUCAUUUCCCUAUGUCUUUUUUUUUUUUUUUUUUUUUUUUUGAGACAGAGUCUUGCUCUGUCGCCCAUGCUGGAGUGCAGUGGCUCCAUCUUGGCUCACUGCAAGUUCCACCUCCCGGGUUCACGCCAUUCCCCUGCCUCAGCCUCCCGAGUAGCUGGGACUACAGGUGCCCGCCACCACGCCGGGCUAAUUUUUUGUAUUUUUAGUAGAGAUGGGGUUUCACCGUGUUAGCCAGGAUGGUCUCGAUCUCCUGACCUCGUCGUGAUCCUCCCGCCUCAGCCUCCCAAAGUGCUGGGAUUACAGAUGUGAGCCACCGCGCCCGGCCUAUGUAACCAUUUUCAAAGUGAGUUGGUUCACUGGCAUCUUUCAGAGGUGAUCGGUUGGCGUGUUUUUGUUGUUCGUUUAGUAUGGCUGUGAACUUAAUCAUUAUGAACAUACUUGAUGUGUUACAGUCCAUUGCAUUGUUGCCUCGUUGGUGAGCAGGUUGUUCUCCCUUUGGCCAGGGAGAGUCUCUUUCAUGUUGGGGUCUAAGAUAGAGGCAUCUUUGUCAGAUUCUUUCCUAUCUAGCCUGACAAGAUGUUCCGGGCUCAUUUUGAACAUUUAAUGCCCUGAUCUGCACUUAGCAAUUGCCAAGGAGCCCUGAUUCCUUUUAGUGAAAAAUAGUAUUUCAAGACCAUAGUCUGCAAGCUUGGGCUCCUAGUUGCUGUGAGGCCUUUUCAAUAGGCAGAGCUAGGAAUAGCUAGGCAUUUUUGUUUGUUUGUUUUUUGUUUUUGUUUUGUUUUGUUUUGAGACAGGCUCUUACUCUGUUGCCCAUGCUGUAGUGCAAUGGCACGAUCUCAGCCCACUGCAACCUCUGCCUCUCAGGUUCAAGAGAUUCUUGUGCCUCAGCCUCCCGAGUAGUGAGUAGCUGGGAUUACAGGUGCAUGCCAUCACAUCUGGCUAAUUUUUAUAUUUUUAGUAGAGACAGGGUUUCACCGUGUUGGCCAAGCUGGUCUCAAAUUCCCGACCUCAGGUGAUCCACCCACCUUGGCCUCCCAAAGCAUUGGGAUUACAGGCGUGAGCCACCGCACCAGCCUAGGAAUUGUUCUUUGUUUUUUGUAUUUUUAAGAUAAAAUACAUCAUAAGUUCACUCUUUUUGAUGAAAACUCAGGGCUGCAGGGUUUUAAUUAACAGCUCCAUCCUCUGUGUUUUCUCUUUUCCACACUGAAAAUCCUAAUUCUCAUGGGUACUUGAGGAGGCUAGAGUUAGAGGUUCCCCAGCUCAUGCUGCUUCAGUCACCUGGAGGGCUUGUGGACACACAGAUGGCUGGGUCCAUUCCCCAUUUCUGAUUGAACAGGUCUGGGUGGGGCCUGAGAAUGAGCAUUUCUAACAAAUGCCCAGGUGGUGCUGAUGCUGAAGGGCCAGGGGCCACUGAAUAGAACAUCACACGAUUGCUCACUUGCUUUCAGUUGCUUUAUCCCUCAUUACAUAGACUCUGAAUAACACUAUUAACUCCACCAUCAACAACAGGACUAGUGAACACAGGUCUAGAACUGUUUUUGACAGUUCUUAUUGGCAUUUGGAUGUAUCCCAUAAGGAAUGAACAGUCAAAUUACUGUAGUUUUAAAGUUACUUGUCAUAGCUCCUCUCUCUGAGAUUAUACCACUAAAUGUAUAUGUAUACAUUUAAGUUCACUUGUUUUAUUUUUCCUGAUUAUUUUUAGGGAAAACCUUGAAAAAAUCUAAUUGCUUUAUAACUAUAUAAAAUAUUUACUUCCAAAAUUAAAUCUACAAAAUGAGGUCUAUUUAAAGAAGCCUUGUGUAUGUUCUGUCCUCUCCAUGCUAACUCCUCCCUUCCUGAGUACUCCAUCACAGUUUUUAUGGUUUUCCUUCCACGUGAAAAACAUCCAAACAUAUUUGUAUUUCCCUUUCUUAGCUUAGACAUUGCCAGCUGCACACACUGUCCCACCUCACUUUCCCCCGGACUCCACUCCACGCUAGGAGUAUGUUGAGAUCAUUCUCAUUCCAUGAUGUCGAUAUUCCGUGGUUUAUUCUGCCAGUCCCCUCCUGGUGGAAUUUGAGUUGUUUUGUGUUUUACUGUUUCCAGUAGUUGUGCACAGAUAGCCUGUCUGUGGCCUUUCCGACGGGCCUGUUGGGAUGGAGCCCUGCAGGGCGGGUUGCUGGGCUGAGGCAAAUGGUUAUGUCACUGUGCUGAUGCUGCCUCAGCUCCCUCCUGAGUGCUUGCACCAUUGGGAAACUGCCUGUAGGCCUCGCUGAGAAGCCAGCCCUUGAACAAAGCCAGUGGCAAAGGGGAAGUCUGGGGAAAGACCAGUUUGGGAACCCUUCUGUCUAAAGCCUUAAGGCAUUGGGGUGCCAGGAACAGGAGUGUCUCUUUUUAACUUGUAAAUACAGUACUGUGGUUCAAACUGCUACAGUAAUGCUGUGUUUAUUUAAAAAAUGUAUACACUGUUAAAGGCUGAUUCCUCAGUAUUCUUAUAUUCAGAUGCAUUUAUCCAGUCUUUUUGUUUUUAAACUCUUGAAUUUUAAGUUUGCUCUCUGAGGGCUAGAGAAGGCAACUUGUUUCCUUGAUUAGAAGAGUUCAUUCAACUUCUUAACAUUCUUGGCCUGUGUGUUCUUGUCUUUUAAGUUAAAACAGAAAAAGACUGGGACUUUCUGUCUUUUGACUAGUCUUUACGUGUAGUAGUUCCUUUUCUGCAAAUUUCCACAGUAGGAAACUUGAUGAACACUAAUGUAUGGGUUUUCUUUUGACCCCACCUACAGUGGGUAGUAUUGUCAUAUGACUGGGUGCUGGGAGAGAGCAGCAGAGGGCAGGGGUGUGUGUGUGUGUGUGUGUGUGUGUGUGUGUGUGUGUGUGUGUGUGUGUGUGUGUGUGUCAGAGGGAAGGUAGAGACCACAGGAAGGACCUGGAGGAGAGCCAGGCUGAAUGGGUAUAACGUUAAGCCGGCGAUGACAUGGCAGGGGGUGUACUGAGUACUUCUUUAGACUUGGCCUUUAAACUUGGUGGUGCAGAACUGUGGGAGGGUUCAUUUGCUUUACUUCUCAAAUAUGUGCCUUCUAAUGAAGGGAGGACAGUGUCUAUGCUAGAAAUGUGGAGUUAGUUGCCUAGUCAUCUUAGGGGGUGACUAAACCUUGCUUUCUACCUAGAGAAUCUGGAUAACAUCUGGAUCCUUUUUUGUGCUUUCUCGUUGACCUUCACUCCCUGCCCCCACCCCCGACUGCGAAGGCUUUUCACGGACAGAUACUCUGGCAGGAGCACCGGGGAGGCUUCCAUACCCAUGAUUAUGCAUUUGAUGUUAGUUUUCACCAUGAAAGAGCUCCCAAUCUGAAGCAUUAAUUUUCAUUACUGCCUCGACAUUAUACACGAAUUAUAGCAAAUACUUUAUGCAUUAUUGAACAGGCUGAGAUGACUUCCCAGUUUGUAAUCUCGGAUGUUUUUAUCGUCCAUUUGAAAGCCCGUUUUACCAAAAGCCAUUGAAGAGAAAUGAAUGUAUGGCCUAUGGGCAAGCACUUGCAUUCCUAGGCUUGAAGACGGUGCCCUCUCUAAUCCCGUGUUUUCAAACAUGAACUGCCUCAUAGUGGAUUGCAGCUUUCUUUUGUUAAUAGGCUUAAAGAAUUAUUAUUUCUGCAAAAUUUUCUGUAAAGCAAAUCUUAGAUAAAUUAUACAUUUCCUUUGACUUUUUUGUUCAAAAAUAGAAUCAUGGAACCUUGCUUGGAGGGCCUUAAAAUUAGUUCAUCUCUUGUCUAGUCCAGUCACUCCGCUGCUUUUAGUCGCAACUGGGAGAUGACCCAGCCCAUGGUUGAGGCCCCCAGCUGUGGGACACUUUCUGUCAUUCUUCACCCCCCUCCACCCUCAGGGUCUUCUCUCGUAGGCCACAGCAUUUCUUGGGUUGAGCUAAAUCCAUUUCUCUGUCUUUCUCACCCAUUAGUGCUCUGGGGCCUACUAAGCCCUACAGAAUAAAGCCAGCCUUUGAAAAUAAGACAGCCCAUUAGGUGGCCGAGGACAGUGUCUUGUUAACAGGUUGAAACACUCCACAUGUCUCCAACAAUUUAAGAUAAAGUGAGAUGUAUUUUAUUAGAAAACUUACUGUUCCUUUUACCAAGAUUAUGCUAAAGAAUUUGAAGAAAAAUUGUCCUGUAUCAGAGUAUCAGCAAAUAUUCAGACUCCUUAUGUCAAGGUUUUUUUUUCCAACAUAAAUCUCCAAAUAGAAGUAUUGACCUUGAAAAUAUAUCAUGUCAGGUAUUUAGGAAAGCGACAAACUGACUGAACAUUCUGUUUUGCUUAGCCACUCUCUCAGGGUUAUAAUUUUGUGAUCCUUUUAUACUUUUGUAUGAGUAAGACCAUCACGGCUUUGCACGUUCAAGAAUUGGUUCAGUAAAAAACAGAUGACAGAAAUGUUCACUCUGUCUGCGGAAGGCCUUUUGGAACCCAUAUUUUCAGCCAACCAUUGUUAAAACAACUGCUGCAGAGUAAGUAGUAAACUUGUUAGAAUUAAGAAGUUGGGAAGGAGCACUGGGCAGUAUUGAGUCCUAAGCCAAGCUACCUGGGUUCGAAUCCCAGCCUUGGCGCUCAUUUGCUUGAUGUUGGGCCAAUUAGGGGAGUUCUUGAUGUCUUGGUUUCCAUAUGAGGGUUCAGGGUGAGUAUGCGUGAAGUGCCGGGGGCAUAGCAGGCGCACGGUGCUGUCUGGAGGGACGGUAAACAGGUGGCCCUUCUCUUGACUGUGUUACCUAGCAGCUGUUCCAUGACCCUAAUGUGAUGGUUUUGGGAGGUGGGGCCUUUGGGAGGUGAUUAGGUCAUGUGGCUGGAGUCCCCACAAAAGGGAUUAGUGCCCUUAUAAAAAAGGGCCCCAGAGAUCUCCCUUGCCCCUUCCCCCACGUGAGGGCACAGCAAGACCAAGGUACUCAACCUGCUGAAGCCUUGACUCAGACUUACACCCUCCAGAAAUGAUAAAUAAAUUUCUGCUGUUUAUAAGCCAUCCUAUGCCUGCUGUUCAGCCAGGGUGAUGCUGUGCUCCCACAGACUUUAGGGAUCCAUGGCACCCCAGCUUCCUGACCUGCCGCACCCUCUUAUCUCCCUGUCUCCCCAGUGGGCAUGAGAGCCAAUGGUGGGUGUGGAGACGCACAGGGAUGGGGGUGUAUGUAGUGAAGUUGUGUUUUGAAUUGCUCUUAUAAAUUAUUUUGAUAGAUCUCCUCUGUCACCAAAAAAAGGAGACCUUAGUUAUUGGAAUAAAAGGCCUGAGUUGUCUCUUAAUAAAUAGCCUCCUGAGGCAGAACAGUGAACUGGGUGACUUUGUGAACAGGGUUUCUGAGUGUGGGCACAUCAGUCUCAAGCCCCGUUUUGGCUCUUAGGAACCACCCUAUUAACAAGCGAGUUCCUGCUGGGUUUCGCUCAUGCCUCUGUUGCCCGUGGGAUUAAAAUGAAAAUUUAGCCUGGAACGUGCUCUGCCUCGCAGUUCAGCCCGCAGAGCUCUAGUGACUUUUCUGCUUAAUGGUUGGGUUAGUUCAGGAAACUACAAAGUCUGUGUUGUUAAUUUAAUUACCUACCGCGUGAGCCAAGAUUGAAUUCUUUUGGGCUCUUAAACUUAAGCUGUUCACCAUCUUUUUUUUUGUUGUUUGUUUGUUUUUUUGAGACGGAGUCUCGCUCUGUCGCCCGGGCUGGAGUGCAGUGGCGUGAUCUCGGCUCACUGCAAGCUCCGCCUCCCGGGUUCACACCAUUCUCCUGCCUCAGCCUCCCAAGUAGCUGGGACUACAGGCGCCUGCCACCACACCCAGCUAAUUUUUUGUAUUUUUAGUAGAGACGGGGUUUCACCGUGUUGUCCAGGAUGAUCUCUAUCACUUGACCUUGUGAUCCACCCACCUCGGCCUCCCAAUCUGCUGGGAUUACAGGCGUGAGCCACUGCGCCCAGCUGCUCUUCACCAUCUUUCAUGUGCUGGUUCUCCAUACCCCAUUUUCAAAGGCAUCUCUAAUUUCAUAAGACUUGAUGUGAAGAUUUAAGAGUUUAUUAAAAUAAUGGUUGUAUAUGCUGAGAAAAUGGUGGUGAUUUUUCUUCACAUUGUUAAUGCAGCGCCUCAGUGGGUUAGAAUUGGGCCUUCAAAUCUACGCUGGGGCACUGUCUUGGUGUGCUAGGGCUGCCGCCACAGAGUCACACAGUCUGGGUGGCUUAGCACAAAUGCGCUGUGUCACAGCUCUGGAGACCAGGUCCAGGCAGCCACAGCAUGGGCCUUUGUGUCCUCAUGGGGCCUUCCUGCGUUCCUUCUGUCUGUGUGACCAAAUCUUCUCUUUACACAAGUCAGUUGGAUUAGGGCCCAUCCUGAAGACCUCAUUUUAACUAAGCUACCUUAUCAACUUUGAAGACCUUAUCUGCAUAUGGUUAUAUUCUGAGGUACUGGAUUUUAGGGCUUCAACAGGUAGGUUUUUGUGGGACACAGUUCAGCCCAUAACAGGUACUGAGGUCAGAUGGUCCCAGGUCAAAUUCCUACUUAGGUCAGAUGACACUUUUGCCACUGUUGGAUGUGCUGAUUGACUGGUCAUCUUCUAGGUGAACACAGGUUAGAGAGUUAGUCCAUGAUGGAAUGCGAGAGACAUUGCUACUUGGUAGUCUCCAUUUAGACGAGUCUUACUGUACGGCAGGGUUCCCAGGGAGAAGAGCUUGGAGCAGGUGUUGGAGGCAGUUCCACUUUUACUCUGUACGGAUGUUAUUUGUAUACGUAUGUGAAGUAACUGUAUUGCAAAGAUAGAAUGUGAGAGAGAGAGCGAGAGAGUGUGUGUGUGUGUGUGUUUGUAGUUUUAUAUAGAAAACCAAGUGGAAGAGGAGAAAGCGAUUCCAUUUAGUUGGCUUACUUUCCACUUAGCAAAGAGUAAUGAUUUUUAUACAUUAAUCUUGGAACUGUUUAACAGGACAACAGAAAUUGGCAAUCAAAGUUAAGAAACCAGAGGCUAACUAAAGAUUUUCUUCUUUUCUUUUAUUGAUGUCUUUUCUUUCUUUUUCUUUUUUUUUUGAGAUGGAGUUUCGCUCUUGUUGCCCAGGCUGGAGUGCAAUGGUGCAAUCUUGGCUCACUGCAACCUCCGCCUUCCGGUUCAAGCGAUUCUCCUGCCUCAGCCUCCCGAGUAGCUAGGAUUACAGGCAUGCGCCACCACGCCCGGCUAAUUUUGUAUUUUUUUAGUAGAGACAAGGUUUCUCCAUGUUGGUCAGGCUGGUCUCAAACUCCCUACCUCAGGUGAUCUGCCCACCUCGGCCUCCCAAAAUGCUGGGAUUACAGGUGUGAGCCAUCACGCCUGGCCUCUUUUAUUGAUUUCUAAGAUGACUACCAAAUAAAUGAACAAGAUAAAAAGUGAUAAGUUCAAACAUACUGUUUUUGUGUUAACAAAAUGUAGUAAUAGUCCCUUUUUAACCACUAUGUGCCAUGCCUUGUUGGAAGUGACUGACGUGUCUUGUCUCAUUUAAUCCUCACCAGAGCUCCUCUGGCCGAGCUCUUCUCAUUUUCCCAUUUCCCAUGUCCCCGAGGCACAGGAAGGUUAAAUGAUCUCCCCAGGUGCAGUCAGCUGGUCAGUGAUGGAACUGAGAUGGGGACCGGGCAGUGAGGUUACCAGCGCCUUGCCCACUCACCGUGCCAUCUGCCCGGAAAUGUCAUUACCCUUCCUCAGUGACUUGACAUUAUUAUAUGAGUUUCAGGAGGUUUUUUAUUUUUAGG